AAGAUUUCAUUAAGGUGGAAGUCAUGCUGCUUAGCCGAUUAGCCACUGCGAUUUGUGCGGAAAGAGGCCUGUUUUGUGGUAUGCUGGAUAGUUUGACGUAAUGUUGGCUUCCUGUGUGUGUGUGUGUAUGUAUAUGUGUGUGUGUGUAUGUGUCUAAGCUGUGGUGAUAUGAAGAAUUGUAAUGUAAGCACUUGCUAAGCUAAACAGAAGACAUUAACCUGUGUUGAGUAGAAUGCUGUGCACACCUGGCCAAUCCAGCUGCUUAUAUCCCUGUCUGACCACUGUAGCCACUAAACUAACCAGCACAAAGGCUCUGCUCUGUAAAUGACUGUGACACAUCUGUGACCAUGACUGCGGUCAGCUGUUCCACAGGUAAACUGUCCAAACAGCAGAUGUUUCCUUCUCAGCCUACUGUACAGUGUGGCACAGAGACAGACGACAGAGCGGGAGAGAGGGAACGAGUGCGGAAAAAGUGAUGAAGAGACGGGUGAUGGGUGUGAGACAGGCCCACACAGCUGUUGUUGUCAGAGGAGAACGACAAGCCCGGGAGAGAAAGAAACCGUGGGGGAAAAAGGAGUUCCAUCUUUUGUGUGGGAACACUUUGAGGCCUGUCUUAUUAUUGCACUGCACCACCCCCCCCCCCUCUCCCAGCCACCCCCACCUUUCCACCACUUCUUCCCCUCCUGCUCCAAUUGUUUUCCCUUUUGUCACCACACACAGUCAUGUUGGGCAUGGCAGCCCACUCCACUCUGACACAAAAAUAUAACGCCUGCUGCUGUGGUUUCUCCCAUAUCCUGCCUUUUUCUUUUCUUUUUUUUUCUCGCUGAAAUUAGAACUCAGAAUUGUUCGUAAUUUAAAAAAAAGUAAAUCCCGGAAGAGUUGGGAAAAGUGAGAUGUCAGUGGGGAAAAGCAAUGUAACCCUAACUCCCACGGCAGGAGGACGGUCCAUGUGGAUUCAAAGCUUAUGGUUUGACGUUUCUAUGUACUUUAACGUCUUGGAUACUUUUAAGUACUUUUUGUCAAGUAAAAAUCUAUGUAGAUGAUGUUCUUCAUCAGUACUUGAUGGAACUUACCAUCCGAGCUGACUGUGUCUCCAUGUCCAGGGUAUCCUUCUUGCCCCGUGUCUCUGUAAUCCACCCAGUUAAUUCCUUCCAGGCUGUCAUAGUUAGACUGGGAUUUGUCCUCUACUGGAACCACAGUGAAAUGAGGCAUGUUCCCAGUCGUCUAGCGUUUAUCUCUCUCUUUCUUGUUUUCUCUCUCUUCUUCCUGGAUAGACAGAGAGACAGAUAGAUAGAUAAACAAAUAGAUCAACAGACAGACAAACUGGGCUGAGGACUCUCUGAGCUAAACUCCACUACUUCCAAGCGCAUUCCUCUGCUCUUCGCUCACUUCCUCCCAGUACUGCCACAUUACCAUACUCCCCUCCCUCUCUCCCUCUCUUUCCCUCUAGAUCUCCCCUUGCUCAGCCCCCUAGUCCAGCCCCCCUGGCCCUGCCCCCCUUUGCCCUCGGCUGCAGUAGCAGCAGUGAAUAGAGUAGAGCAGACACUGACGCACUCUUCGCCCGAUUCUUUACAGCCCAGCCUCACUUCCCCCUCAUUUCAGGGCCUGAAAUACAUGAUUCACACCCAGACAACAAAAAAAACAACAAAAAACAGGGGCAGGCCGGCCUGACACCCCUCACAGAUGCUGCUGUUCAAAAGAAGAACUGACCUCUGAUUGCCUACGCCAUCCAAUGACUGAUUCCUAGAGUCUUCUUUCCAGGAAAGUUGAGUAAAGAGAGAAAGGAAGUAAGAAGAGCAAAUUACUCAUAGCCAACUACUAGUAGAACUGCUGUAAUUAGAAGGUAAAGACUUUUAUGGAAUAGUCUCUGUUUU